AACGAACGCUGGCGGCAUGCCUAACACAUGCAAGUCGAACGAGACCUUCGUGUCUAUUUGCGCACGGGUGCGUCACGCGUGGGAACCUUCCCUUAGGUUCGGAAUAUCUCCCCGUACGUGGUGCUAAUACCGGUUAAUUUCUUCUGUCCAAAGAUUUAUCGCCUUUGGUUGGGCCGGCGUUGGAUUAGCUUGUUGGUAGGGUAACAGCCUAACAAUGCGACGAUCCAUAGCUGGUCUGAGAGGAUGAUCAGCCAGACUGGGACUGAGACACGGCCCAGACUCCGACGGGAGGGAGGAGUGGGGAAAAGAGGAAAAUGGGCGAAAGGCUGAAGGAGCAAUGCCGGGUGAGUGAUGAAGGCCUGAGGGUAGAAAAGCACUUUUACACGGGAUGAAAAUGACAGUAACGGGAGAAUAAGCACCGGCUAACUACGUG
rnacentral:rRNA from 1 species